AUUAUUCUAAACUAAACCUUAAACCCAACCUAAACCAAACGCUAAACCUUUCCUACUACCUAAACAUUAAAUCCUACCUAACCCUAGACCCUACCUAAGCCUAGACCUUAACCCUAUCUAACCCUAAACCCUACAUAAACCUAACCCUAAUCCCUAAACCCUUCAAACUACCUAAACCCUAAACGUAAACCCUACCUAACCCUAAACCCUAUUUAACACUAAACCCUACCUAACCCUAAAACCCUACUUAAAACCUAACCCUAAACCCUACCUACCCUAAACUCUACCUAACCCUAAACCCUACUAACCCUAAACCCUACCUAACCCUAACCCUACAUAACCUUAAACCCUACUAACCCUACCUAACCUAAACCCUACCUAACCUAAAACCUUUCUAGCCCUAAACCCUAACUAACCCUCAACCCUACUAACCCUAAACCCUACUAACUUUAAACCCUACUAACCCUAAACCCUUUCUAACCCUAAGCCCUACCUAACCCUAAAUCCUACCUAACCUUAAACCCUACCUAAUUCUAAACCCUACCUAACCCUAAACCCUACCUAACCCUAAACCCAACCUACCCUAAACCCUUUCUAACCUUAAACCCUACCUAACACUAAACCCCUUUUAACCCUAAACCUGACCAACCCUAAACCUGCCAAACCCUAAACCCUAAACCUAAACCCUACCUAACCCUAAAACAUUUCUAACCCUAAACCCUUUCUAGCCAUAAACCCUACCUAACCCUAAACCCUACUAACCCUAAACCCUACUAACACUAAACCUUACAUAACCCCACACCCUACCUAAUCCUAAACCCUACCUACCAUAAACCCUAUGUAACCCUAAACCCUACCUAACCCUAAACCCUACCUAGCCCUAAACCCUACCAAUCCUACCUAACCGUAAAUCCUACCUAAUCCUAAACCCUAUCUACCCUAAACCCUUUUUAACCCUAAACUCUAGAUAACCCUAAACCCUCUCUAACCCUAAACCCUACCUUAUCCUAAACCCUGCCUAACCCUAAAAACCCUACCUAACCCUAAACCUUUCUAACCCUAAACCCUAAACU
rnacentral:lncRNA from 1 species